CCCCUCCUGUCAGAAUAAAAUGAUCCGUUAAUAGCAUUUUAGGAUUAAUAGAAAUCGUUUAUAACUAGAACCUUGGUUUUCCAGUAAUGAUGUAGCCUUUUAUAGCCGACUAUAUGGUAUUAGGUUUCCUCAUUGUUGAAGGCCGUAGGUUGCCUAUACUUGCUUACAUCGACUUUAUUUGAACUUCGCUUUGGUGGAUAGUUGUCUCAUUGGCAAUCAUACGGUUUAUUACCACAUCACCUUAUUGUAUUUACCUGAAUAAUCCAGUCGUAAUAUUCCACUGACC
rnacentral:lncRNA from 1 species